rnacentral:rRNA from 1 species
GUGCCAGCAGCCGCGGUAAUACGAAGGGGGCUAGCGUUGCUCGGAAUUACUGGGCGUAAAGGGAGCGUAGGCGGACAUUUAAGUCAGGGGUGAAAUCCCGGGGCUCAACCUCGGAAUUGCCUUUGAUACUGGGUGUCUUGAGUAUGAGAGAGGUGUGUGGAACUCCGAGUGUAGAGGUGAAAUUCGUAGAUAUUCGGAAGAACACCAGUGGCGAAGGCGACACACUGGCUCAUUACUGACGCUGAGGCUCGAAAGCGUGGGGAGCAAACAGGAUUAGAUACCCUAGUAGUCC